CCUACGGGUGGCAGCAGUGAGGAAGAUUGGUCAAUGGACGAGAGUCUGAACCAGCCAAGUAGCGUGAAGGAUGACUGCCCUAUGGGUUGUAAACUUCUGUUAUAGGGGAAUAAAAUGUUCCACGUGUGGGAUUUUGUAUGUACCAUAUGAAUAAGGAUAGGCUAACUCCGUGCCAGCAGCCGCGGUAAUACGGAGGAUCCGAGCGUUAUCCGGAUUGAUUGGGUUGAAAGGGAGCGUAGGUGGAUUGUUAAGUCCGUUGUGAAAGUUUGCGGCUCAACCGUAAAAUUGCAGUUGAAACUGGCAGUCUUGCGUACAGUAGCGGUGGGCUGAUUUCGUGGU
rnacentral:rRNA from 1 species